AAUCUUGCGCAAUGGGCGAAAGCCUGACGCAGCCACGCCGCGUGCGGGAAGAAGGCCUUCGGGUCGUAAACCGCUUUCAGCAGGGAAGAAGCGAGAGUGACGGUACCUGCAGAAGAAGCCCCGGCCAACUACGUGCCAGCAGCCGCGGUAAUACGUAGGGGGCGAGCGUUGUCCGGAAUCAUUGGGCGUAAAGCGCAUGUAGGCGGUUACGUAAGUCGGAUGUGAAAUCCCGAGGCUUAACUUCGGAACUGCAUCCGGUACUGCGUGGCUUGAGGAAGGUAGAGGAGAGUGGAAUUCCCGGUGUAGCGGUGGAAUGCGCAGAUAUCGGGAGGAACACCUGCGGCGAAGGCGGCUCUCUGGGCCUUUCCUGACGCUGAGAUGCGAAAGCGUGGGUAGCGAACA
rnacentral:rRNA from 1 species